UCAAUGGGUAUUUUAUUAAAAAUAUUAAUUUUGGAGAUUAAAGAAAGAUGUUGAUUUUCCCGUUGAGC
rnacentral:tRNA from 1 species